AUACGUAGGUGACAAGCGUUAUCCGGAUUUACUGGGCGUAAAGGGCGUGUAGGCGGUCUUGCAAGUCAGAAGUGAAAUUCCUGAGCUCAACUCGGGCGCUGCUUCUGAAACUGCAGGACUUGAGUGCUGGAGGGGAUAGCGGAAUUCCUAGUGGAGCGGUAAAAUGCGCAGAUAUUAGGAAGAACACAGUUGGCGAAGGCGGCAAUCGGGACAGUAACGGACGCUGAGGCGCGAAAGCGUGGGGAGCAAACAGGAUUAGAUCCCCUGGUAGUCCACGCCGUAAACGAUGAAUACUAGGUGUGGGGGGACUGAACCCUUCCGUGCCGCAGUUAACACAAUAAGUCAUCCACCUGGGGAGUACGGCCGCAAGGUUGAAACUCAAAUGAAUUGGCGGGG
rnacentral:rRNA from 1 species